CUCAUUCUCUACUACUACUAUUUCUCUCUUCUAGCAAUUUUUAGCAAGUGCUCUUCUAGCAAUUUAAUUUUUAGUUUGCAUUUAACAAGUGUUCAAGUGCUACACAAGAGGAUGUUCUUGUUGAGAAGAGGAGGUCACUCCUUGUUGAGAGCACAAGAAGAAGCUGACAAAUAUCGGCUCUACCUCUGGUCCUCUACUCAAUUCCUCCUUGUGAGUCACAGAAUACUUCCGGAGUGACUGGCCACAUAAGCAGUCAUCCAAUCUGCAACCCGAUUGGCUUCUUGGAAGACAUGCUUGGCUUGGAAUGUCCUCCUCUCCGUCGUCAUAGCCCAUAUGUCAUGAAGCAGUGGGUGGUCUUUGGUUCAUAGUUGGGAAUCAAGUUUUCUUUGUUUUGUU
rnacentral:lncRNA from 1 species